UGCCGGAACAGAGAGAUUUCUCUGAACAAUUUUUCCUGCACUCUGUAGGCCUUGCUUGCCAUGGAAGUGACAAGCGUGUAUUGUUUAUACUUAUAGGCUGUGUGAAAAUAUGUGAUGUUUAUACUUGUUAACUGUGUGUCUCAUUAUAAGGUUUGAGAACAUAAUAUGUUUAUAGUAAGAAAACCUUGAGAACCUAGAGAUAAAAGUACACCUGCAGAUCUAGGAAAAACCCCUAAAAGCAGAUUAAUUAGAAAGAGGUUUCUAUGCCAAGAAUGAUUUCAGGUCGCAUGGACAGAACCUCAUAUCCAAUAAACUGAGAGCAUGAGACGCGUGCACAAACUGAGCUAUCCAAUCAUCUUAUUGUGAGCAUGUACCCUGAGCAAACUAAACUGUAUAAAAGUUAACUGAUUUAAAUAAUAAAUUGGACAUUGCUUUGAUCACAUUGGUCGUAGAUCUGUAAAUCUGCUGUUUGAAAGAUCAGGGGCUGGCGAAAGUGAAGAGUCUGGAGCGGAGAUAGAAAGAGAUUCUGUGAGAUGCUAUGAUAAAGAAAAACUUUAGUUGUUAACUCCUAACGCAUUUCCAGUUAUAACAGAUGCGGGAGACAAUAGAAGCUAUUAAACAUUAAAUUAGAAGAUGCUAUAAGAAGCUAAAUCUAUAAUUACUCAGUAUGGGUUAAGAUCGGGUUAUACUACAUUUGUGUUACAACAUUUUAAGAAUAAGCAUUAUCUCCAAUAAUAAGGACCUUUUUUUUCUUCUUCCUUUUUUUUUUCCUCUUAGCUCUUUAAACUUUAUCUGAGAUUCUAGUAGCAAGAAUGCUUGUAUAAACUAGAGACACUGAAGUCUGUAAGAGUCUGUACUGUUCCUUGCACUGCAGUAUUCUAGAUCUUUUAGUGUGGUACUUUACCAUAUGCACUUCCCAGAUUUUGACAUCUAGAGACAUUCCUAUUUGUUGUGUAUAUUUUUUCAAAUGUCAUGUGUUAAUGAGAAUGAGUAGGGAAAGAUAAGUCUAGUUUACAGAAGACACAAAGAGAUAUAAUUUUGUUCUGAUUGAGAAAACAUAAUUCUCUUGUGCUUUCUUUU